AGAGUUUGAUCCUGGCUCAGAACGAACGUUAGCGGCGCGCUUAACACAUGCAAGUCGCACGAGAAAGGGCUUCGGCCCCAGUAAAGUGGCGCACGGGUGAGUAACACGUGGGUAACCUUCCCUCUGGCGGGGGAUAACCUUCCGAAAGGAGGGCUAAUACCGCAUAAGACCACGGCUUCGGAAACGACGCUGCGGUCAAA
rnacentral:rRNA from 1 species